GCGGGCAUGGUGCUAGUGGUAACACAUAUCCUUGCCAAGGACAAGUUGCGAGUUCGAUUCUCGCUGCCCGCUCCA
rnacentral:tRNA from 1 species